rnacentral:rRNA from 1 species
UUCUGGUUGAUCCUGCCGGAGGUCACUGCUAUCGGUGUCCGAUUAAGCCAUGCGAGUCGAGAGGUGUAAGACCUCGGCAGACUGCUCAGUAACACGUGGAUAACCUGCCCAAGGGUCCGGGAUAACCCCGGGAAACUGGGGAUAAUACCGGAUGGGUCACCAGUGCUGGAAUGCUUGGUGGUCGAAAGGUGACGCCUUUGGAUGGGUCUGCGGCGGAUUAGGUUGACGCCGGUGUAACGUACCGGCGUGCCUGUAAUCCGUACGGGUUGUGGGAGCAAGAGCCCGGAGAUGGAUUCUGAGACACGAAUCCAGGCCCUACGGGGCGCAGCAGGCGCGAAAACUCUACAAUGCAGGCAACUGCGAUAGGGGGACAUCGAGUGGCACCCACCUUGGGUGCCUGUCCCACCGUCUAAAAAACGGUGGUUAGCAAGGGCCGGGCAAGACCGGUGCCAGCCGCCGCGGUAAUACCGGCGGCUCGAGUGGUGGCCGAUAUUAUUGAGUCUAAAGGGUCCGUAGCCGGCUUUGCAAGUCCCCUGGGAAAUCCGGCGGCUUAACCGUUGGGCUUUCAUGGGAUACUACAUUGCUUGGGACUGGGAGAGGUAGGAGGUACUCGGGGGGUAGGGGUGAAAUCCUGUAAUCCUCCGGGGACCACCGGUGGCGAAGGCGUCCUACCAGAACAGGUCCGACGGUGAGGGACGAAAGCUAGGGGCACGAACCGGAUUAGAUACCCGGGUAGUCCUAGCCGUAAACGAUGCCCGCUAGGUGUCACGACGGUCGUGAAUCGUCGUGGUGCCGUAGGGAAGCCGCGAAGCGGGCCACUUGGGAAGUACGGCCGCAAGGCUGAAACUUAAAGGAAUUGGCGGG